AGAGUUUGAUCCUGGCUCAGAAUGAACGCUGGCGGCGUGCUUAACACAUGCAAGUCGAACGAGAACGGGAUUGCUUGCAAUCCUUAGUAGAGUGGCGCACGGGUGAGUAACACGUAGAUAAUCUACCUUCAAGCCUGGGAUAACUAUUCGAAAGGAUAGCUAAUACCGGAUAAAGUGAUUUGGCGACCAAAGACAGCCUCUGGUUGAAUGCUGUUGUUUGAAGAUGGGUCCGCGUACCAUUAGCUUGUUGGUGGGGUAACAGCCUACCAAGGCUGCGAUGGUUAGCUGGUCUUGAGAGAUGAUCAGCCACACUGGAACUGACACACGGUCCAGACUCCUACGGGAGGCAGCAGUGAGGAAUUUUGCGCAAUGGGGGAAACCCUGACGCAGCAACGCCGCGUGAGUGAAGAAGGCCCUUGGGUCGUAAAGCUCUGUCGACAGGGAAGAAAUUACUUACGGUACCUGUAGAGGAAGCACCGGCUAACUCCGUGCCAGCAGCCGCGGUAAUACGGAGGGGGCAAGCGUUGUUCGGAAUUAUUGGGCGUAAAGCGCGUGUAGGCGGUUAGGUAAGUCGAACGUGAAAGUCCUUGGCUCAACUGAGGAAUUGCGUUUGAUACUGCCUUACUAGAGUACGGGAGAGGAGAGUGGAAUUCCUAGUGUAGCGGUGAAAUGCGUAGAUAUUAGGAAGAACACCGGUGGCGAAGGCGGCUCUCUGGACCGUUACUGACGCUGAGACGCGAAAGCUAGGGGAGCAAACGGGAUUAGAUACCCCGGUAGUCCUAGCCGUAAACGAUGGGCACUAGGUGAAGGAGGUAUUGACCCCUUCUGUGCCGGAGCUAACGCAGUAAGUGCCCCGCCUGGGGAGUACGGUCGCAAGGCUGAAACUCAAAGGAAUUGACGGGGGCCCGCACAAGCGGUGGAGCAUGUGGUUUAAUUCGACGCAACGCGAAGAACCUUACCUGGGCUUGACAUGGACGGGAAAGCCAUAGAAAUAUGGUUUCUCUUCGGAGUCCGUGUGCAGGUGCUGCAUGGCUGUCGUCAGCUCGUGUCGUGAGAUGUUGGGUUAAGUCCCGCAACGAGCGCAACCCUUACCUUUAGUUGCCAGCGGGUAAUGCCGGGAACUCUAAAGGAACUGCCGGUGAUAAGCCGGAGAAAGGUGGGGAUGACGUCAAGUCCUCAUGGCCCUUAUGCCCAGGGCUACACACGUGCUACAAUGGCCGGUACAAAGAGUUGCGAAACCGCGAGGUCAAGCUAAUCUCAAAAAACCGGUCUCAGUUCGGAUUGGAGUCUGCAACUCGACUCCAUGAAGCUGGAAUCGCUAGUAAUCGUAGAUCAGCAUGCUACGGUGAAUACGUUCCCGGGCCUUGUACACACCGCCCGUCACACCAUGAGGGUUGAUUGUACCAGAAGUCAUCGAGCUAACCCGUAAGGGAGGCCAGUGCCUAAGGUAUGGCAGGCGAUUGGGGUGAAGUCGUAACAAGGUAACCA
rnacentral:rRNA from 1 species